rnacentral:lncRNA from 1 species
CCCUUCCUUCACCAUCCUCGCCUCCGCCGUGCUGCUGCACCAUCUCUCCUCCGCCUGCGACGCCGGAAACACUAUCCAAAUCCAAAACGUCGGCGUUUGAUUCCUUCCUGGAGACCGAGCCCUCGUCGUCGCUCUGGCGCUCUUCACCCUUCGCUUGGCACUCGGUACUCUGUUCUCGUCAAUCAGUGCUCGGUGGUCGGCUGUUGGCCUUUGGCGCUCGCCGCUCGGCCUAACUGAAGCAGAUCUGGUCCUGAGCCUCCUCCUAAGCGCCGGCGACGAAUGUAGCAAUGAUUUUUUCAAGUCACAAGGUGAAAAGGUGAGUGGACUUGAGGAAGGUGUGAGGAUUCUAAGUUGCAGCGUCGCUAGCCUUCGGCAAAUUGGGGUCCCGAACAACGUCGUUGAGGACGGUGAGCUUUGCUGGGCGACGGAGGAAGGCUGGUUGUUGCUUAGUCUCUAAGAGGUAUGACGGUCAGAGGAAGACUGGUUCUGAGUUGUAUCGUAAGGUUGGACGCCGGAGUCGACGCCAACGCCGAUCGGGAAGUGUUUAGGCGCUAGCUUUGGGUGCCCAGAGCAAUUUUUUGGUUUGGGCUUGGGUCCUUGACAACGGGCUGGAGGUUUGGAUGCCCUUAUGGCCUCACAGUAAUGUUUCAACAUUUUAUUAGGGUUAGUAACUAUUAUUGGGGUCAAUAACUGGAUUAUGUUCCGGUAUUUCUUCUUAUUCUAUUACUAUAAGCUGAAAUAAGUUGAUUAUUGGGGGUAAGUAACUGAUUAUUAGAGGUUAGUAACACGAUUAUUAGGGGUCAGUAACUGAUUACUGGGGGUCAGUAACUGAUUACUGGGGGUCAGUAACUGGUUACUGGGUGUUAGUAACUAAUCAGUAACUGGUUACUGGGGGUCAAUAAUUGGUUACUGGGGGUCAGUAACUGGUUACUGGGUGUCAGUAACUGAUCAAUAACUGGUUACUAGGUGUCAGUAACUGGUUACAGGAGAAAUUUUGGUGACCGGAGUCCCGCGGCCGGUGACCGGAGUCCGACGGCAGGUGACCGGAGUCCGACGGCCGGUUACUAGAGUCCGGUGAGAUUCUGGCCAAGUAUUCUCUCUUUCAUUUUCUCUCUAUGCAUGUUUAAGGGGUGAGGGUAAAAUAGUCUUAAAAUAAUAUGAUUUGUUAAGACUUUAGUAAAGAUUUGUGCAUUUGGGCAUAAAUAUUUGUGUAUUUGGGCAUAAAAAAACUUACUUUAUAUUGAAAUGGGCUAAUGAAAAAGAUUAUCAUUGGAAUGAGAAAUAAAGGAUUUAAAUUAAUACUAAAUGAGUAUUUUCCCUUCUAUAAUAUUUGUUUAUUCAGUAAAGAAUGUUGAAAGUAACGAGAUAUCAUGCCUAAUUGGGUUUUCAACUAUUAGAUCCCUCUUGCUAUUGAUCUUCUCAUCACAUUUGGACAUUUGAAUCGGUUCCGAUUCAUAGAAGACUUUCCCUGAACAUAGAUCAGAACUUGUUGUCCAUGCUGUCACAUGUUAGUUAAAUUUAUGUAGCAUAUACACCUUGAUUGGUUUUCCACACUAAGUAGAUUUUAAGCCUAUAAUCACGGUUCAUCUCACAGAGAUCAUUAUCCAAGUUUUGAAGAUUGUAUUUUUUUUUUUUUUUUUUUUUGAAAGUUUGAAGAUUGAUUAUUUGCUUCAG